GAUGAAGAACGUAGCGAAAUGCGACAAGUAAUGUGAAUUGCAGAAUUCCGUGAAUCAUCGAAUCUUUGAACGCACAUUGCGCCCCCUGGUAUUCCGGGGGGCAUGCCUGUUCGAGCGUCAUUUCACCACUCAAGCCUCGCUUGGUAUUGGGCAACGCGGUCCGCCGCGUGCCUCAAAUCGACCGGCUGGGUCUUCUGUCCCCUAAGCGUUGUGGAAACUAUUCGCUAAAGGGUGUUCGGGAGGCUACGCCGUAAAACAACCCCAUUUCUAAGGUUGACCUCGGAUCAGGUAGGGAUACCCGCUGAACUUAAGCAUAUCAAUAAGCGGAGGA
rnacentral:misc_RNA from 1 species